AUUGAACGCUGGCGGCAUGCCUAACACAUGCAAGUCGAACGGUAACAGGGCCCUUCGGGUGCUGACGAGUGGCGGAGUGGGUGAGUAAUACUUAGGAAUCUACCCUGUAGUGGGGGACGAACCCGGGGAAACUCGGGCUAAUACCGCAUACGCUCUACGGAGGAAAGCGGGGGACCGCAAGGCCUCGCGCUAUUGGAUGAGCCUAAGCCCGAUUAGCUAGUUGGUGGGGUAAUAGCCUACCAAGGCAAUGAUCGGUAGCUGGUCUGAGAGGACGACCAGCCACACUGGGACUGAGACACGGCCCAGACUCCUACGGGAGGC
rnacentral:rRNA from 1 species